UGUAUUCAAUCAGGAGUCUAUUGGAUUGUUUUGUAUUUUAAAAGUCCUUUAAAUUCUUGUGGUAUUCAAUUAAGAUUUUAAAAAAUCCUUUAAAAUCUUGUGGUAUUCAAUUAAAAUUUUUAAAAGUCAUUCCAAAUCUAGUGGUAUUCAAAAACCAAACGAUUUUCAAGGAUUUUAUUAAAUGAUUGAUUCUGUAGGAUUUUAGGGUGCUUGGUAUAAAUACCAAACCCUAUCAGAAAUCCAGCCUCUAGAGCUGAGAUUUUGACGUUUUUUUUCUUCUCUCGCUCAGAAGAUGAAAAGGCCUCAAAUAGAAGAUGAAACUGACCUCAACCUUUCUUUAUUAUCUACUAACGAAGGCUCUCAUCUUUGUAUAGUUAAAAUUCUCUAUUCAUUUUUUAUUUGAUGAGAUAUAUGGAGAUAACAAAGAAGAAGUAUUAGAGGUGGAGAAGCUAAUCUGGAGGUAUUGAAAGAUAAAAAGUUGAAGGGUUAACUAGCUGUUAGAGAAGAAUUGCAUCUGAAAAUUGCCAAGCUGCUGCCAACGCUGAGAAGAUCUCGGUCCGUACAGGUUGGAUUUCACGCCAAGUGGUCGAUGGUUGGUGGACACAAGGGUCAUCUAGCUAUUGUAGACAUGAAGCAAAUGAGCCUGAUUAAAGAAUCUCAGGUCCUGCAUGUGAUGUGGUAUUCUUGCAUGAUGAGACAAUGUUUGCUGCAGCCCAGAAAAAGUAUAGAACCGUGUGCUGUGGCACAACAGCUUCCCUCAUGUUUUCUUCAGGAUCCUGCUUUGCUAUGGCCAUGUUAAGUUACUUUAUCUAUGGCAUUUAGUGUAUUAACUUGGUAAUGAACCGGGAAAUCAGACUCUUCUCCUCACCACGUAAAUCUGUUCAUGGUUCUAAUCUCCAAGCAAUAUCCUCCCUUUCAAACUGAACAGCUAUAGCAAGAAUGUGGUUUGCCUUAUAUAAACUCAACAUGUACCUGUACUAUUUAUUGUGAACUAUUUCUAGUCAUCUGCCAUUAUAAUAUGAACAAGUAUUUUCAAUUGAAGUAUGCUCAUUCAGCAGACCAGAAUACCAUGUUCAUGUGUUGCCUGCACGAGCUAGGUUCUUUUUUUUUUUUUUUUUUUUUUUUUUUUUGUGUUGUAAAGAUCGGUAGCACUGAAUAAUGUCUCAAGAUCUUGUGCUUACUGGUGGAAACUGUUGUAAUUCAAUACCCAGUGAUUUAUAUGAAAUUC